UACAUAGGAUGCAAGCGUUAUUCGGAUUUACUGGGCGUAAAGAGAGCGCAGGCGGAUUUGAAAGUCUGGUGUGAAAUACAAAUGCUUAACUGUUGUAUGCAUUGGAAUCUGCAAAUCUAGAGUAUAGUAGAGAGUGUUAGAACUCCAUGUGGAGCGGUGGAAUGCGUAGAUAUAUGGAAGAAUACCAGUGGCGAAGGCGA
rnacentral:rRNA from 1 species